rnacentral:piRNA from 1 species
GGAGUGUGCCAACUGCUCGAGUGGUUAGUG